rnacentral:rRNA from 1 species
GACGAACGCUGGCGGCGUGCUUAACACAUGCAAGUCGAACGGAAAGGCCCUGCUUUUGUGGGGUGCUCGAGUGGCGAACGGGUGAGUAACACGUGAGUAACCUGCCCUUGACUUUGGGAUAACUUCAGGAAACUGGGGCUCAUACCGGAUAGGAGCUCCUGCUGCAUGGUGUGGGUUGGAAAGUUUCGGCGGUUGGGGAUGGAUUCGCGGCUUAUCGGCUUGUUUGGGGGGUAGUGGUUUACCAAGGCUUUGAGGGGUAGCCGGCCUUGGAGGGUGAACGGCGACAUGGGGCCUGAGGGAGGCAGCAGAAGCGAAUGUGACGCAGCAGGCGAGAAUCUGACACAGUAGGCGGAAGCCUGAGACAGCGGCGCCGCGUGCGUGAUGACGUCCUUCGGGUUGUAAACCGCUUUCGACUGUGACGAAGAGGGAGUGACGGUAAUGGGUCAAGAAGCACCGGCUAACUACGUG